CCGGCACGGGUGCGUAACGCGUAUGCAACCUACCAUCAACAGGGGGAUAACACUGAGAAAUUGGUACUAAUACCCCAUAAUAUCUCAUGCGGCAUCGCAUGGGGUUGAAAACUCCGGUGGUUGAUGAUGGGCAUGCGUUGUAUUAGCUGGUUGGUGAGGUAACGGCUCACCAAGGCGACGAUACAUAGGGGGACUGAGAGGUUAACCCCCCACAUUGGUACUGAGACACGGACCAAACUCCUACGGGAGGCAGCAG
rnacentral:rRNA from 1 species